rnacentral:rRNA from 1 species
UACGAAGGGGGCUAGCGUUGUUCAGAAUUACUGGGCGUAAAGCGUGCGCAGGCGGCUUCUCAAGUCAGGGGUGAAAGCCCAGAGCUCAACUCUGGAAUUGCCUUUGAGACUGAGUGGCUUGAGUACGAGAGAGGUGAGUGGAAUUCCCAGUGUAGAGGUGAAAUUCGUAGAUAUUGGGAAGAACACCGGUGGCGAAGGCGGCUCACUGGCUCGUAACUGACGCUCAUGCACGACAGCGUGGGGAUCAAACAGG